GGGUCCGGACACACUGAGGAUUGACAGGCAAAAGAUACAAGUUUUCUUUGUGAGAGCUUGCAUUGUAAAAUAUGCGAGUCCUUUCAUGAUUAUGUGAUAGGUGGUGCAUGGCCGUUCUUAGUUCGUGGAGUGAUCUGUCUGCUUAAUUGCGUUUCACAACGAUUUAAAAUGCUAUGUUUUCUGUGUUUGCUGUUCGGUUUUAGCUCUUACGGGAGUUUUUAACUUUGAACGCACACGGCGUAGCUUAAAACAAUCGGAAAGCAACGAGCGUGACCGCAACCUCUUGUUGCCUUUAUUUUUAAAAGCGUGGAAAAUUUUAUAUUUUCCUACGCUUGAAAAAGGCUUUAAAACUAGAGGGACCGCUGUUCUAUUCUCUUAAACCAGAGGAAGAUUGCGGCAAUAACAGGUCUGUGAUGCCCUCAGAUGUUCCGGGCUGCACACGUGCUACAAUGAUUGUUGCAGUGAGCAUCUAUUUUCAAACGCUACCGUUGCGGAUUUUGUGAGAAGGGGGAUUUGUUUUAAAGCUUCGGCAGAGAAGCAGGUUCUUUUUUUUCACAAUUUAUUCCGCG
rnacentral:rRNA from 1 species